GGUAGGUUUGCUGUCCGCGACAUGAGGCAGACAGUUGCUGUUGGAGUCAUCAAGAGUGUGGAGAAGAAGGACCCGACCGGCGCCAAGGUUACCAAGGCAGCUGCCAAAAAGAAAUGAUGCAACCUGUCGUUAAUCCUGUAUCUGCUUUUGCAAUACCUGACUUGUCACUCCAUCCCGAAGUUUUGUAUGCGGUUGUUACUGUUAUUGUGUACUGUUAAGCUCUGCUGCGGCGUGCCCUGUUGUUUGGGUAGCGUCAACGUCGAGCGCCACUUGCGGGUGUGCCUUUGUCUGCUAUCAGUAGCGGCAAAAAUUGAAAGCUCUCGAGACUUAUGUCCCUUUUGGGCGCCGUUGAACUGAUUAUUUUAAAGUCUGCCCACAUUUUUCUACGACAGGUUCACUCGUGAGGAUAGAGCGACAGAAGUAUGAAAAUAGAAUAGGGUAGCAGCGAGACGAGCAUCCCUUAUGCAACUCCUGAAACGCACGAUGUGUAUUUUGCACGCUGUGUAUUUUGAAAUAUGAAGUUAGAUGAGUGGGAUAGAUGUACCUACAGAGGUGACCGGGAGGGUGGAACCGUUGCCGACGACGAUGGAGGAAGGAUGUGAUAGGUGGGGUGGAUGGGAGUGGAGGGGGUAGUGUGAAAGGAGGCUCCGGAGUCAACCACCCAAUCGGUGGUGGUUCGGGGAGGUGGUGGUGACGAAGGUGCGGUGUGAGCGGAGAGGGCCAAAAAGGUGCCCCGAUAGAGACACACGGAAGGGAGGGAGAUGGCAUGGGCUCAACCGCUAGGGAGGCGAUCGUAGCACGUGGGAAGACAAGCGGUCCAGGCACGUGACGGCCCGCCUGAGGGUGGACCUCGACGCAGUCCCGAAGGAUAGGGUUCCAGACUGGAUCGAAGGACACGAACAUGCCCCGGAUGAGGUGGCCGUCGUGGAGGAGAACACGUACAGUCACGAGAGCGGCAUGUGAGGUAAGGCUCAUGUGUGGCGGGGGAGCAGCAUGGGGCGGCCCGAGGCCGGGGAUGUAGGGGGCCCCUCCAUGGGCGAGGCUGCUGCUGAUCGCAGCAGGGGCGAUGGGGAGGUGCAUGCCAGGGCUGGUGGUGGCAGCGGUUAUGUCCAUGGCAGCCAGCAUAGCCGCAGUGGUGGCGGCGGUGGACGCGUCCAUCGGGGCGCCGACUGGAGGACGCCGCAGCAGGGGCUCCGCAGGACGGGUGGGGCGCGGCUCUGCUGGCUUCCAGGGGGCGUCGACGGCCGGAGACGAACAGGUGCCGCGUCCUGUCGGCUGCGUCAUGGUCCGGUCGGGGAGGCGAGGGGCGUGCGUGCUGGCGGCGUUGGGCGCAGGUCGCGGAGUGCGGGGCUCGGGUGCAGGGCUGCAGGGGCACUCGGGUCGCCUGGAUGCGCGCUGCACGGUCGCGGGCCGCGACGGUCGCUGGAGGAAGACGAGCAGCCGAGCAGCAGGUGCGCCGUGGGCGGCUGGGCGCGUGGCCGGCUUGCCGCGUCGUCCGCUUGGACGACUGGACGCAGGAGGACGCAGGACGCCUGGCCGCCUGGGAUCUGCUCGACAGACGGCAGCUCGAGCGCAGGAACCAGGAACGGGCGAACGGCCGAACCGAACGGAGGAAGAGUGGAAGACGCAGGGAGCAGGCAGCGUCGCAGCGGAGCAGGGGGCUGGGGGUGGACGGCGGAGCAGGGCUGCAGGGGACCGCGGUCCGCGGAGGGAGAUGCGACUGCCCUGGUGGCGCUCGGCGGUGGGGAGAGGGGAAGCCGGCGGCUGGCGGCUGAGAGGGAGGAGGCUGGAAAAAAACUAAUCUGAUACCAUAAUGGAAUGUGAACCCAUAACCCUAAUCAGAGUUGGGUGAGAUGUAUUAAUAGACUUGUGUAAUUGGGCCUGGCCCAUUGCACAAGGGGUGAUAUGGUAAUUACAUGGGGAAGACCCCAAACCCUAGACGAGAGCUCUAGGUAUUCUAACAUGGAGAAGAAGGACCCGACCGGCGCCAAGGUUACCAAGGCAGCUGCCAAAAAGAAAUGAUGCAACCUGUCGUUAAUCCUGUAUCUGCUUUUGCAAUACCUGACUUGUCACUCCAUCCCGAAGUUUUGUAUGCGGUUGUUACUGUUAUUGUGUACUGUUAAGCUCUGCUGCGGCGUGCCCUGUUGUUUGGGUAGCGUCAACGUCGAGCGCCACUUGCGGGUGUGCCUUUGUCUGCUAUCAGUAGCGGCAAAAAUUGAAAGCUCUCGAGACUUAUGUCCCUUUUGGGCGCCGUUGAACUGAUUAUUUUAAAGUCUGCCCACAUUUUUCUACGAUAGGUUCACUCGUGAGGAUAGAGCGACAGAAGUAUGAAAAUAGAAUAAGGUAGCAGCGAGACGAGCAUCCCUUAUGCAACUCCUGAAACGCACGAUGUGUAUUUUGCACGCUGUGUAUUUUGAAAUAUGAAGUUAGAUGAGUGGGAUAGAGUCGUCUGCAGAUAAUCGUAGUCCAUUUCUAGCAUAUAAUCCUAGUCUAUUUCUAGCAGACCGUGCAAAAUACUGUUUUGCAUUUUAGAUUGCACUGUUUGCAGAGUAUUGAAAUAAAGAGUCAGAUAUGAAGUGGAUUAGGGAGUCUGGAGAUAGUCUAAUCCGAGUUUUGUUCCAAAACAGCUGCGUGAUGUGGUGUGGAUGUGUUGUAACACAUGCUUUCUCCUAAUGUGUUGUGUAACGGGACGCUGUUUACAGCUAGUCAGCAGCUGCACUUUCUCUCUAUCUAUGACGGAUCAUUCUAGGAACGGAUCAUUCUAGGAACAGAACAAAUCUAGAACAUGCAGUUUAGUGUUCUUCCUUUCUAUCGACCCACAACGGGGUCAUUCCUGGAACAAACCUAGAAAAUGGAGCUGGGUAUCUUCUGAGUCGUCUCAAAGUAGGCCCAUGGCAUGAAAGAAUCAGGCUCAUGCCUCACAUCUAGACUUGUCACAACACGUUUAAUAUAUCGAUUCAUACCAUGCCUAACCAUAAGCUUAUCCACCCAUAGCACCACAUGGUCAGCGUUAGAUGGGCUAUGCCAACUCGUUUAGCACGACAUCUCAAUAGUUCGUUAGGGUUGAUGAGCUAUUAAAAAGACUACAUAUAAAACCUUCACAAUUCACAUUAUAAACUACAAAUAGCUCAUUACACGAGUUGAUACCUUUAUAGUUCAGACAAACAAACAUCUUGUUGGGCUCUUGCUUUUGAAUCCUUCGGAAUGUCAAAAAACAAGACAACAUAAGUUAGUACGUUGCCCACUUCUUCCUUCAUUUAACCUCUUGUAAGAAACGGGUGACGCCUAAGAGGGGGGGUGAAUUAGGACUUCUAAAACUUUCGCUAAACUAGGCCACAAUUAAAUCCCUAGAGCAAAACCUAUGCAAAUAAUCAAACUAGAAUGUGCAAACUAGAUUUUGUCUAAGUGUUGCUAUCUCUACCGCAAAGGCUAAGUUUCAAUCUACACUAGAUAAGUAUGAAUACAAGAUUGAAACUUAAAUGUUAAUAUAAAUGCAAAAACUUAAAGAGCAAAGUAGAGAAGCAAACUCUCGUGGAUGACGCCGGUAUUUUUACCAAGGUAUCCGGAACCGCGCAAGGUCUCGACUAAUCCUCGUUGGUGUCUCUACGCAAAAGGGAAGCCCACGCGAGGGUCAAGCACCUCGGUCGAGUAACUCCGUAGAGAGCCACAGGCCUUCUCCACACGUAAGUGGUGCUCCGCUUCCGGCUUCUCUCGGACGCUCCUCGCCGUCUCCACUAUCGAGCUUCCGACCGAAACGUCGCGGGCCUCGUUCCCUCCGGUACACGGUGGCGGCCGUGACACAAACGCGGUUGUCACGGUCUCGCAAGACUCUCGCCCCACUCGGUACAAUUACAACGACUCACGCAAGAGCCGAGGGGUUGUGAGGUUUAUCUAAACUCACUCAACUAGCUAGGAUUCACCUAGAGCAAGCGCUAAUGCGGUCUAACUAACCUAAGCACUUCGUAAAGCACCUACGCUAAUCACCGAGUGAUUCUAUUAAGCACUUGGGUGUUUGAGCACUUGAAAAUGUCUACAAUAUGCCUUGGUAUGUUGCUUGGGCUCCCACACUUGGAAAUGGCCGGUUGGGGGUGUAUUUAUAGCCCCCAACACAAAUAUAGUCGUUGGAGAAAAGCUGCUGCUUUCUGUGUCACACCGGAGAGUCCGGUGGUGCACCGGACAGCGCACUGUAGCCUGUCCGGUGCGCCUAGCCGUUGCUUGUCAGAGCAGGUGACCGUUGGUGCCGCAUGCUUUUCACACCGGACAGUACGGUCCUCACACCGGACAGUCCGGUGGUCUUCUCUCCGGGUGCCACCUAGAACUAGCCGUUGGGCUGCUGUUCCCUGGUGCACCGGAUAGUCCGGCGUGUGGACACCGGACAGUCCGGUGCUCCACGCACAGAUAGUCCGCAGGCACCACACUUGGACUUUUCUUGGAUCUCUUUAAUGUCUUCUUUUGAGGCGUUGCUUUCCUCAAUUCCUUAGUCCAAGUUAAUCUUGCAUCCUGUGAACUACAAACACAAACACUAGAAAACUUAUUAGUUCAUGGAUUGUGUUGAUCAUCAAACACCAAAACUCAAUUAGCGUCAACAUCGGGCGCCACUUGCGGGUGUGCCUUUUGUCUACUAUCAGUAGCGG
rnacentral:lncRNA from 1 species